rnacentral:rRNA from 1 species
UUGAGUGGCGAACGGGUGGGUAACACGUGGGCAACCUGCCCAAAAGAGGGGGAUAACACUUGGAAACAGGUGCUAAUACCGCAUAACCAUAGUUACCGCAUGGUAACUAUGUAAAAGGUGGCUAUACUACCGCUUUUGGAUGGGCCCGCGGCGCAUUAGCUAGUUGGUAGGGUAAAGGCUUACCAAGGCAAUGAUGCGUAGCCGAAUUGAGAGGUUGAUCGGCCACAUUGGGACUGAGACACGGCCCAAACUCCUACGGAAGGCAGCAG